UUAUCAACUGCCUCUUUCUCUCUCUAUUCUUUUCCUUCACUGCUUCAAACCGAAACCCUAGCCUCUGUGUUCCGUUGGCUUGAAGCUUCUACAUCUCAUUUUCUCUGAAAACAUUCGCUUGUGCUUGAAUCGACUGAUAAAGGAUACACGCUUUGCCCUUUCCAAUUCCUGCUCUCAAACCCUACUGUCCGAAUACACAUCUUCCCCUUCACGUUUCCUACCGAUCAAUUGAUUUAUCAAUCCUAUAAUAUACUAAUCUCAUUAAUGUUGAAAGCCAUCAUCAAUUUGGCAUAGAUGGGUAUUCAAGAAAAUAAAGGCAUAAAUGGGAGUUUGGGUUCGUUUCUUACUCGCAGAGGACGUUCCUCAACUAUACUCAAAAGGGCCAAAUCUUGGUGAAAAACAAGAAGCAAGAAUCAAUGUUGGACAUGAAUAGAAAACUUUUCCAAGAAUAUGGAUUCUUUGCUUUACUUGAUCGGACAUGAGAACUAAAUGAAGUUCAACACUAAAAAUCAAGGGCCCUUAUAUAUGGGCCUCAAUCUUUGGCUUAUUUUUUUAUAGAUUUUUUAUAGAGUCCAGCCACAAUAAAUCUUGAUUUAGGUUAAAAUGCAGGUGACUGAGCUUGAGAAACAAUUGAAAAUGGAGAUAAAAUCAAGAAACAGAGCCAGAGCCGAAAAGAUCUGGUAAAAGACAUAAUUGCUCUUUAGAUGAUGGUAAUUUAGGGUCUUUUGAUGAAGAUAUUUUUGAGUAGUCAGAAAGAUGGAGCUGAAGAUCUUUAAAAAAAAAGAAGAUGACAGUGGCUAGAUUUUAUGUAUUUUGGUUCCAGCGGAAUGAAAUGGUCAAGACCGGGUUCUCCGGGUUCGGAGGAACCCGACUUUGUAGUGGGGCUACUUCAACUUAAAAGAUGAAAGAAGGGUUACUAAAUAAAGUUCAAUAAGCAAUCCCAAACACCCUUCUAAAAGCAUGAUUUUUCUUUCAACACCUUAUAUCAUGAGUUAGUUACUGUCAUUCAAUGGAAAUUUGUCACAGAUAUCUUAAGCUUGAAAAUACACAGUUGGAAGCGCAACUCCUCGUGUUAAAAUUACUUAAAAUGUGUGAUUUAGGGUAACCAAAGUCAUCAGUUACGCGUUCCCAAUCAAAGUCAGCUGCAGCUUACAUUGCACUUGAAGUUCUUUCAAGAAAAGAAUAUGAUGGAAAUGUGGCUCCUUUGUGCUUUUAGUUAUUUACUAGACAUGCUAUUUAAUAUUAUUUCUUAUUUGAAUUACCAUACUUGACUCAUCCUAACACACACCAUUGUUCUUGUGAAAAACGAUAAAUUAAAUCGUUAAAAAUUUAAAAGUUAAAUU
rnacentral:lncRNA from 1 species